rnacentral:rRNA from 1 species
AUGGCGGGUGGGGCGAAGGCGUCUUGGAUGGUGGCGAUGAGCGUGGGCGCGGUGGAGGCGCUCAAGGACCAAGCUGGGCUCUGCCGCUGGAACUACGCCCUCAAAUCCAUACAUCGGGCAGCCAAGGCCAGCGCCAACGUCCGCGGCGGCGUCUCGCAGGGCGCCAGGCAGCUUCCGACCUCUGCUGCGGCGGUGGCCGAGAGGCAGCGAGCGGAGAAGGCCGAAGGCCGGGGAAUUCCCCCUUUUCAAAAAAAAAGCUGUUGGGGUCCAAAUUAG